ACGUAGAAAAAUUCAAUGGCUUUUGAAAUUAAGUUCCAAUUGUAGGUUCAGGAGGAGCCUAAUCAUUCAGUCCUGUCAAUCAUCAUUACGAGCCUAUAAAAGCAGCUCUCAUUGCACCAUCCCAGCAUCAAUUCUUCCAGCAUCCCUCCACCUCCCUAUCUCCUCCUCUAUUUCUGUUAUUCUGCCUAAAAAAAAAAAAAAAAAAAAAAAAAAAAAAAAAAAAAAAAAAAAAAAAAAAAAAAAAAAAAAAAAAAAAAAAAAAAAAAAAAAAAAAAAAAAAAAAAAAAAAAAAAAAAAAAAAAAAAAAAAAAAAAAAAAAAAAAAAAAAAAAAAAAAAAAAAAAAAAAAAAAAAAAAAAAAAAAAAAAAAAAAAAAAAAAAAAAAAAAAAAAAAAAAAAAAAAAAAAAAAAAAAAAAAAAAAAAAAAAAAAAAAAAAAAAAAAAAAAAAAAAAAAAAAAAAAAAAAAAAAAAAAAAAAAAAAAAAAAAAAAAAAAAAAAAAAAAAAAAAAAAAAAAAAAAAAAAAAAAAAAAAAAAAAAAAAAAAAAAAAAAAAAAAAAAAAAAAAAAAAAAAAAAAAAAAAAAAAAAAAAAAAAAAAAAAAAAAAAAAAAAAAAAAAAAAAAAAAAAAAAAAAAAAAAAAAAAAAAAAAAAAAAAAAAAAAAAAAAAAAAAAAAAAAAAAAAAAAAAAAAAAAAAAAAAAAAAAAAAAAAAAAAAAAAAAAAAAAAAAAAAAAAAAAAAAAAAAAAAAAAAAAAAAAAAAAAAAAAAAAAAAAAAAAAAAAAAAAAAAAAAAAAAAAAAAAAAAAAAAAAAAAAAAAAAAAAAAAAAAAAAAAAAAAAAAAAAAAAAAAAAAAAAAAAAAAAAAAAAAAAAAAAAAAAAAAAAAAAAAAAAAAAAAAAAAAAAAAAAAAAAAAAAAAAAAAAAAAAAAAAAAAAAAAAAAAAAAAAAAAAAAAAAAAAAAAAAAAAAAAAAAAAAAAAAAAAAAAAAAAAAAAAAAAAAAAAAAAAAAAAAAAAAAAAAAAAAAAAAAAAAAAAAAAAAAAAAAAAAAAAAAAAAAAAAAAAAAAAAAAAAAAAAAAAAAAAAAAAAAAAAAAAAAAAAAAAAAAAAAAAAAAAAAAAAAAAAAAAAAAAAAAAAAAAAAAAAAAAAAAAAAAAAAAAAAAAAAAAAAAAAAAAAAAAAAAAAAAAAAAAAAAAAAAAAAAAAAAAAAAAAAAAAAAAAAAAAAAAAAAAAAAAAAAAAAAAAAAAAAAAAAAAAAAAAAAAAAAAAAAAAAAAAAAAAAAAAAAAAAAAAAAAAAAAAAAAAAAAAAAAAAAAAAAAAAAAAAAAAAAAAAAAAAAAAAAAAAAAAAAAAAAAAAAAAAAAAAAAAAAAAAAAAAAAAAAAAAAAAAAAAAAAAAAAAAAAAAAAAAAAAAAAAAAAAAAAAAAAAAAAAAAAAAAAAAAAAAAAAAAAAAAAAAAAAAAAAAAAAAAAAAAAAAAAAAAAAAAAAAAAAAAAAAAAAAAAAAAAAAAAAAAAAAAAAAAAAAAAAAAAAAAAAAAAAAAAAAAAAAAAAAAAAAAAAAAAAAAAAAAAAAAAAAAAAAAAAAAAAAAAAAAAAAAAAAAAAAAAAAAAAAAAAAAAAAAAAAAAAAAAAAAAAAAAAAAAAAAAAAAAAAAAAAAAAAAAAAAAAAAAAAAAAAAAAAAAAAAAAAAAAAAAAAAAAAAAAAAAAAAAAAAAAAAAAAAAAAAAAAAAAAAAAAAAAAAAAAAAAAAAAAAAAAAAAAAAAAAAAAAAAAAAAAAAAAAAAAAAAAAAAAAAAAAAAAAAAAAAAAAAAAAAAAAAAAAAAAACAUAAUUCUACAAAUAUCCAAAUUGUAGAAAUAAGUAAUCUACUUCACUUCACUGCACUCCAGUCCUAAAGAUUUAAAAUGUACUUUCUUUUAAAUCAGCUUUGAGGCCACGCUUAUUUUCUAUUUCUAAUGCACCUUUAUCCCACUGGUGCUUUGGGUUAAAGCAUUAAAUUCGAAAAACUGACAUGAAAUAUCCUCAACAUGUGUACACACCUGCACACACACACAGCUGCUGACUGUUGAUGAUCCAGCCAGCUCAUAAACUCAGUGAAUCACUGAUCUCUAACAAGCCACUCGCUCCUCUCAAUCCAUUGCACCUGGUCAGCACAAGGUGUUUCCGCACAGACUCAUCCCAGCCACUGCGGCUGUUCCAGCACCAGCUGUGCUGUGCGGGUGAUUUAUAGCAGCGUGAUUCAGAGUGAUUACACUGACAGAGCAGCAGCAAACACAACAAACCGUUCCUUUCCAGAGAUCUACACCUCCAGGGCUGAAUAAUCACACAGUCCAUCACUGGCCAGACCCUUCUCAUCACACUACCCCUCUUUUGGGCUCACCUACAGCUUGUGGCAUCGCCCCAUUCAUUACAGCUUUUGUAACUACAUCAAGAGACUGGCAGGGCACUUGACACACAUUCCUUACACUCACAGUCUGAUCUUUUUGUUUAAUAUAUGUAAAAUAAUAUUCCACUACAUGUUAAAAGAAUAAUUUACCCAAAAAAUGAUUUAUUCCUGAGUCAUUUACUCAUUUUCAUCUUUCAAAUACGUAAAAUGUUUGUCAGGGAAAUAACAUUGUAAUCCUUUAACAUACAAAAUACAUUAAAAAAAUGUUUGUUCCAGGGAGAAAAUAAACAUGAGUGUUAAUAAAUAAUUACAGAAA
rnacentral:lncRNA from 12 species